CCUACGGGGUGCAGCAGUGGGGAAUAUUGCACAAUGGGGGAAACCCUGAUGCAGCGACGCCGCGUGAAGGAAGAAGUAUUUCGGUAUGUAAACUUCUAUCAGCAGGGAAGAAAAUGACGGUACCUGACUAAGAAGCCCCGGCUAACUACGUGCCAGCAGCCGCGGUAAUACGUAGGGGGCAAGCGUUAUCCGGAUUUACUGGGUGUAAAGGGAGCGUAGGCGGCGAUGCAAGUCAGAAGUGAAAGCCCGGGGCUCAACUCCGGGACUGCUUUUGAAACUGUAUGGCUAGAUUGCAGGAGAGGUAAGCGGAAUUCCUAGUGUAGCGGUGAAAUGCGUAGAUAUUAGGAGGAACACCAGUGGCGAAGGCGGCUUACUGGACUGUAACUGACGUUGAGGCUCGAAAGCGUGGGGAGCAAACAGGAUUAGAUACCCUAGUAGUC
rnacentral:rRNA from 1 species